UACGUAGGUUGCGAGCGUUGUCCGGAUUUACUGGGCGUAAAGCGCGCGCAGGCGGUCCUGAAAGUCGAGCGUGAAAGCUCCCGGCCCAACUGGGAGAGGCCGUUCGAAACUUCAGGACUUGAAGACGGGAGAGGCAAAUGGAAUUUCCGGUGUAGCGGUAAAAUGCGUAGAUACCGGAAGGAACACCAGUGGCGAAAGCGAUUUGCUGGCCCGUCCUUGACGCUCAGGCGCGAAAGCUAGGGGAGCGACCGGG
rnacentral:rRNA from 1 species